rnacentral:rRNA from 1 species
GAUGAACGCUAGCGGCAGGCCUAACACAUGCAAGUCGAACGGUAACAGAGAAGAGCUUGCUCUUUUGCUGACGAGUGGCGCACGGGUGCGUAACGCGUAUACAAUCUACCUUUUACAGGGGGAUAGCCUUUAGAAAUGAAGAAUAAUACCCCAUAGUAUCUAAAUUUCGCAUGUUAUUUAGAUUAAAGUUUCGGCGGUAAAAGAUGAGUAUGCGUUCUAUUAGCUAGAUGGUAAGGUAACGGCUUACCAUGGCAACGAUAGAUAGGGGCCCUGAGAGGGGGAUCCCCCACACUGGUACUGAGACACGGACCAGACUCCUACGGGAGGCAGCAGUGAGGAAUAUUGGACAAUGGGCGAGAGCCUGAUCCAGCCAUGCCGCGUGCAGGAAGACUGCCCUAUG